UACGGCGGGUGCGAGCGUUGUCCGGAAUCACUGGGCGUAAAGGGCGCGUAGGCGGCUCAUGAAGGCUGUGGUGAAAGUCGGGGGCUCAACCCUCGGAUGCCGGUGGAUACUGUCGGGCUUGAGUACGGAAGAGGCGAGUGGAAUUCCUGGUGUAGCGGUGAAAUGCGCAGAUAUCAGGAGGAACACCAAUUGCGAAGGCAGCUCGCUGGGACGUUACUGACGCUGAGACGCGAAAGCGUGGGGAGCAAACAGG
rnacentral:rRNA from 1 species